CAAACAUGGGAGCUGUUUGGGUUUUGGGCAUUUAUACAGUGACUUUGUGGUUAAAGGGGUCCUGUUUGUCUGUUUUUCAAAUUGUAGAACAAUAUGAGGAGCAGCAGAAGAUGCAAAACAUCGUCUCUAAAAACGGCAUUGCUCUGAAGACCACUACCUUUCUCCAGUCAAGGAAUUCCGUGUUGAAGAAACAUGGUAAGGCAAAAUGUAAAAGUGCUCUUAUUAUGCUCUAAAAACACAGUUCAUGUGCUUGUCUCAAUCUCUGUAGUACAACUGGAAACCAAUGAAAUGGAAAUGUAUGUGUCAAGUGUAGAGCUGUAAGGGUGUGGGCUUUAAGGGCCUCCCAUGAGGUGUCAAAUAAAGCACAAAUAUCUUAAAUCCUUUUCUCAAUAUGAACUUCUGUUUUAGUCAAGCUUUCCAAUCAUGUCUUCUGGAGUCACAUCACAAGAAGUUAUGACCGUUGAGCAAAGUGUAAACCAGCCCUUAGAGGUGAUGGCCUGUGGGCAAAAUUUUAAAAACCUUUUAUUAUCCUGUAUCAAAGGGUCAAUGAGUGCCAUGGCAGAUCCUAAAACAAAAAUUAACACUAACCUAACAUCCAUCUAGCAAUUUACCCAGAAUGUACUGCACAGCUAACACUGUGUGGGGGGUGUUGAAAUAUAAAUGCCUUAUUAAUAGCUAAGACUAAGACAUAUUGGACUCUGCUGCUCAUAGACUUUAAUGAGUUUUAGUUAUGCUUUUGUUAGAAAAAAACCUUAACAGCCUCUAGUAUUAUAACACAAUGAGUGUUCAUUGUUAAAGGUUGCAGGUGUUUUGUCUGUAUCGUGAGGAGUCGGGAGUGUAUGUGGGGAGGUAUGCCACUCCUCUCUGUACUGGUCGGACCUUCUGAUAACUAUUCCACCCUGAAGCUUCCUGAAGACGUGUGGGAAACAAUUCUUUCAUUAAAUAAUGAAAUGUAUCUGUUUCUUUGAUACUAUUGCUGAGGAGACAUCCAUAGACAGAAUGAUUGUGUAUGUGUACUGCACAGCAACGUGGG